rnacentral:rRNA from 1 species
UGACGGUACCAUAGGAAUAAGCACCGGCUAACUCCGUGCCAGCAGCCGCGGUAAUACGGAGGGUGCAAGCGUUAUCCGGAUUCACUGGGUUUAAAGGGUGCGUAGGAGGGCAGGUAAGUCAGUGGUGAAAUCUCCGAGCUUAACUGGGAAACUGCCGUUGAUACUAUCUGUCUUGAAUACCGUGGAGGUGAGCGGAAUAUGUCAUGUAGCGGUGAAAUGCUUAGAUAUGACAUAGAACACCAAUUGCGAAGGCAGCUCGCUACACGAAUAUUGACUCUGAGGCACGAAAGCGUGGGGAUCAAACAGGAUUAGAUACCCUGGUAGUCCACGCCCUAAACGAUGGAUACUCGACAUACGCGAUACACUGUGUGUGUCUGACCGAAAGCAUUAAGUAUCCCACCUGGGAAGUACGACCGCAAGGUUGAAACUCAAA